rnacentral:rRNA from 1 species
UACGUAGGGGGCAAGCGUUGUCCGGAAUUAUUGGGCGUAAAGCGCGCGCAGGCGGUUCUUUAAGUCUGGUGUCUAAGUGCGGGGCUCAACCCCGUGAUGCACUGGAAACUGGGGAACUUGAGUGCAGAAGAGGAGAGCGGAAUUCCACGUGUAGCGGUGAAAUGCGUAGAGAUGUGGAGGAACACCGGUGGCGAAGGCGGCCUGCUGGGCAGUUGCUGACACUGAGGCGCGACAGCGUGGGGAGCAAACAGG